rnacentral:rRNA from 1 species
UACGUAGGGUGCUAGCGUUGUCCGGAUUUAUUGGGCGUAAAGGGCUCGUAGGCGGUCUGUCGCGUCGGCUGUGAAACCCCGAGGCUCAACCUCGGGCCUGCAGUCGAUACGGGCAGACUGGAGUUCGGCAGGGGAGACUGGAAUUCCUGGUGUAGCGGUGAAAUGCGCAGAUAUCAGGAGGAACACCGGUGGCGAAGGCGGGUCUCUGGGCCGAUACUGACGCUGAGGAGCGAAAGCGUGGGGAGCGAACAGG